rnacentral:lncRNA from 1 species
CAGAAUUUCUUCUUUGUUCAUUUCUCUGCAGGUUUGUACCCAUCCUGAAGACUAUCAAGGCUAUGACAAGGUUCUUGGCCUCUGUGUUUGUCGAGCAGACAAUCUGAACAGUGUGUGUAACUCUCAGUGUAGAAGACAACAAAGAGACAUUCUGCAGUUUGUCUGUAAAGGGAAAAAUGCUCAGCUUUCUCUCACUUACAGAAAUGAGAGCCAGAUUGCCAUUUUCUUGGAACAAUUAAAGGCAGUUCUACAAGUGCUGCAUUCCCCUGCUAAGAACCCCUGCCCUACCGAGCACAGCACCUCUUCCUAUCCUGUAUACAUGGUGAAAACAAGCGGAAAAGGGUUUUUGGGUGUGUACAAUCCUGAUCCUGAACUGCUGUACAAUCUCAUUGUGCCAAACAAAAUUUCAUCUCCUGACAACAGUGUACCAUUGUCAGCAGCAGCUCCAGGUGAGGCUAUGCAGCAAGGCUGCAAAAAGUAGUCUCUGUAAGAUUUGCCUUUGGUUACUGUCAUAAACAGAUAGCUAAGGGUUAAUGUCUCUUACACCUGGAAAGAGGUAACCUGAAGCACCUGACCAGAGGACCAAUCAGGAAACCAGACUUUUUCAGGUCUGGGUGGAGGGAAGUUUGUGUCUGAGUUCUUUGUC